rnacentral:lncRNA from 1 species
UUAAUGUAUAUUUACGCACGUACAGACAAAGCAGGAUUACAUAUUGCGCAUGCCAAAGCACGGCUGUGCAAGACGUAGACUACUACAGAUAUACACACCCCAGGCCCGAGCAUAUAACACUGAGAAUCACCUCCAUAGUAAAGACUUCAAGAUGGGAUCAACUAUGCAUACAGCACAUACAAUCCCAUUCUGCAGACAAUGGAGCGGUAAUACUCAGAUAUGUAUGAUCUCGAUCGACAACACACUUAUUCCUUUCCUUGGAAGCUUCUAGUAGUCGUCGGUGUUGUUCCUGCCCGACCUACUCAUCGGAGCCGGACUUGUUGUAGCCUCCGCUGUAGUCAUCGGUUCCUGACUUGCUGCUGCGGCCAUAGUCAUCGCCGCUGGACUUGUUGUAGCCUCCGUCAUAGUUGUCCGUGCUAGACUUGUUGUAGCCACCGCUGCCAUAGUUGUCAGUGUUGGAGGUGUUCUUACCGCUGCCAUAGUCGUCGGUGCUCGACUUGUUGUAGCCGCUGCCGCCGUAGCCAUCAGUGCUGGAGUUCUUGUAGCCACCAUCAUAGUCGUCGGAGCUUGGCUUCUUGUAUUCGUCGCUGGUGGUGGACUUGCUGUAUCCACCACUGCCACUAUAGUCAUCGGUGCCAGAUUUGUUGUAGUCGCUGCUUAGGUCAUUGGACUUGUAGCCACCAUCGUUUCUGUAGUCGUCGGUGCUGGACUUGUUGUAGCCACCCCCGCUACUGUAGUCGUCAGUGCUGGACUUGUUGUAGCCGCCACCCCCGCUACUGUAGUCGUCGGUGCUGGACUUGUUGUAGCCACCGCUGCCAUAGUCGUCAGUGUUGGAGGUGUUCUUACCGCUGCCAUAGUCGUCGGUUCUCGACUUGUUGUAGCCGCUUCCGCUGUAGCCAUCAGUGCUGGAGUUCUUGUAGCUACCAUCAUAGUCGUCGGAGCUUGGCUUCUUGUAUUCAUCGCUGGUGGUGGAUUUAGUGUAUCCACCACUGCCACUGUAAUCAUCGGUGCCAGAUUUGUUGUAGUCGCUGCUUAGAUCAUUGGACUUGUAGCUACCAUUGUUUCCGUAGUUGCCGGUGCUGGACUUGUUGUAGCCACCCUCGCUACUGUAGUCGUCCGUGCUGGACUUGUAGCCGCCACCCCCGCUACCGUAGUCAUCGGUGCUGGACUUGUUGUAGCCACCAGCGUUACCGUAGUCGUUGGUGCUGGACUUGCUGUAGCCACCUUCGUCAACACUGGUGCUUCUGUAGCUGCUGCGAUCAUACUCAUCAGCCAUUUUAAGUUGUGAA